rnacentral:rRNA from 1 species
UAAUACAGAGACUGCAAGCGUUAUUCGGAUUCACUGGGCGUAAAGGGUGCGCAGGCGGCCAAGUGUGUGAGGCGUGAAAGCCCGAUGCUCAACAUCGGAAUUGCACCUCAAACUACAUGGCUAGAGCAUUGGAGAGGGUAGCGGAAUUCACGGUGUAGCAGUGAAAUGCGUAGAUAUCGUGAGGAACACCAGAGGCGAAGGCGGCUACCUGGACAAUUGCUGACGCUCAGGCACGAAAGCGUGGGGAGCAAAAGGGAUUAGAUACCCCUGUAGUCCACGCCCUAAACGGUGCACACUAGGUCUUGGCGGAUUCGACCCCACCAGGGCCCAAGCUAACGCGUUAAGUGUGCCGCCUGAGGACUACGGCCGCAAGGCUA